ACCCGGUUAGCCCAAUGGCAUAGCGUGAGGCUUUUAACCUCAAAUAUACGUGUUCUACUCAUGUAUAUGGCU
rnacentral:tRNA from 1 species